GACGAACGCUGGCGGCGUGCUUAACACAUGCAAGUCGAACGGAAAGGCCCUGCUUUUGUGGGGUGCUCGAGUGGCGAACGGGUGAGUAACACGUGAGUAACCUGCCCUUGACUUUGGGAUAACUUCAGGAAACUGGGGCUAAUACCGGAUAGGAGCUCCUGCUGCAUGGUGGGGGUUGGAAAGUUUCGGCGGUUGGGGAUGGACUCGCGGCUUAUCAGCUUGUUGGUGGGGUAGUGGCUUACCAAGGCUUUGACGGGUAGCCGGCCUGGGAGGGUGACCGGAAAAAUGGGGAAGAGGAGAGGGCCAAGAGGACAAGGGGAGGAAGAGGGGGGAAAAAUGAAAGAGGGGGGGGAAGCGGGAGAAAGAAAGGCCGGGGGGGGAAAGAGGGCUUUGGGGGUGGAAACGGGUUGGGCAGGGAAGAAAGGGGGAGGGAGGGUAAGGGGAAAAAAAGCACCGGCUAACUAGGUG
rnacentral:rRNA from 1 species